UACAGAGGUCCCAAGCGUUGUUCGGAUUCACUGGGCGUAAAGGGUGCGUAGGUGGUGAGGUAAGUCGGAUGUGAAAUCUCCGGGCUCAACCCGGAAAUGGCAUUGGAAACUACCUUGCUGGAGGAUUUGAGGGGGGAUUGGAAUACUUGGUGUAGCAGUGAAAUGCGUAGAUAUUGGGAAGAACACCGGUGGCGAAGGCGGCUAUCUGGACCGACAUUGACGCUGAGGCGCGAAAGCGUGGGGAGCAAACAGG
rnacentral:rRNA from 1 species